rnacentral:rRNA from 1 species
UACGGAGGAUCCAAGCGUUAUCCGGAUUUACUGGGCGUAAAGGGCGCGUAGGCGGCGCGGUAAGUCACUUGUGAAAUCUCUGAGCUUAACUCAGAACGGCCAAGUGAUACUGCAGUGCUAGAGUGUGGAAGGGCAAUCGGAAUUCUUGGUGUAGCGGUGAAAUGCGUAGAUAUCAGGAGGAAUACCUAUGGCGAAAGCAGGUAUCUGGGCCAUCACUGACGCUGAGCUGCGAAAGCUAGGGGAGCAAACAGG